GAAACUUUGCUUUGAAAAAAUAAAAAUCUUCGCAUUUUAUUUUUUUUUUAUUUUUUUC
rnacentral:ribozyme from 12 species